rnacentral:lncRNA from 1 species
CCCGCCACAUUAUUUAUGUUUGUGCCUGUCCCAAGUCAGGAGCCUGUAAUUCAGUGGUUGUCGUUUGUUUAUGUGUUACAUAUUUGUUUUUAGUUCAUUUUUUUUUUACAUAAAUAAGGCCGUUAGAUUUCUCGUUUGAAUUGUUUUACAUUGUCUUAUCGGGGCCUAUUAUAGCUGACUAUGCGGUAUGGGCUUUGCUCAUUGUUGAAGGCCGUACGGUGACCUAUAGUUGUUAAUGUCUGUGUAAUUUUGUUUUUUUGUGGAUAGUUGUCUCAUUGGCAAUCAUACCACAUCUUCUUUUUUUAUAUGUAUGGC